rnacentral:rRNA from 1 species
AUUGAACGCUGGCGGCAGGCCUAACACAUGCAAGUCGAGCGGAUGAAGGGAGCUUGCUCCUGGAUUCAGCGGCGGACGGGUGAGUAAUGCCUAGGAAUCUGCCUGGUAGUGGGGGAUAACGUCCGGAAACGGGCGCUAAUACCGCAUCCGUCCUGAGGGAGAAAGUGGGGGAUCUUCGGACCUCACGCUAUCAGAUGAGCCUAGGUCGGAUUAGCUAGUUGGUGGGGUAAAGGCCUACCAAGGCGACGAUCCGUAACUGGUCUGAGAGGAUGAUCAGUCACACUGAAACUGAGACACGGUCCAGACUCCUACGGGAGGCAGCAGUGGGGAAUAUUGGACAAUGGGCGAAAGCCUGAUCCAGCCGUGCCGCGUGUGUGAAGAAGGUCUUCGGAUUGUAAAACACUUUAAGUUGGGAGGAAGGGCAGUAAGUUAAUACCUUGAUGUUUUGACGUUACCAACAGAAUAAGCACCGGCUAACUUCGUG